GCCGAGGUAGCCAAGGUGGUCAAGGCAUCGGUCUGAAAAACCGACCAUAUCAGUUCGAUUCUGAUCCUCGGCA
rnacentral:tRNA from 1 species